UACGUAGGGACCAAGCGUUGUUCGGAUUUACUGGGCGUAAAGGGCGCGUAGGCGGCGUGGUAAGUCACUUGUGAAAUCUCUGAGCUUAACUCAGAACGGCCAAGUGAUACUGCUGUGCUAGAGUGCAGAAGGGGCAAUCGGAAUUCUUGGUGUAGCGGUGAAAUGCGUAGAUAUCAAGAGGAGCACCUGAGGUGAAGACGGGUUGCUGGGCUGACACUGACGCUGAUGCGCGAAAGCCAGGGGAGCAAACGGG
rnacentral:rRNA from 1 species